rnacentral:rRNA from 1 species
CCUACGGGAGGCAGCAGUGAGGAAUAUUGCACAAUGGGGGCAACCCAGAUGCAGCAACGCCGCGUGAGCGAAGAAGGCCCUUACGGGUUGUAAAGCUCUUUUCUGGGGGAUGAGGAAGGACAGUACCUCAGGAACAAGUCUCGGCUAACUACGUGCCAGCAGCCGCGGUAAUACGUAGGAGGCGAGCGUUAUCCGGAUUUAUUGGGCGUAAAGGGCAAGUAGGCGGUUACCAAAGUUGGGCGUGACAUCUCCCGGCUCAACUGGGAGGGUGCGUUCAAAACUAGGCGACUAGAGGGCAGGAGAGGGAAGUGGAAUUCCCAGUGUAGCGGUGGAAUGCUCAGAUAUUGGGAGGAACACCAGUGGCGAAGGCGGCUUCCUGGCCUGCACCUGACGCUGAGAGGCGAAAGCUAGGGGAGCGAACGGGCUUAGAUACCCCGGUAGUCCUAGCUGUAAACGUUGGAUACUAGGUAUUGGGGGAGGAGAGUCCCUCAGUGCCGAAGCAAACGCGUUAAGUAUCCCGCCUGGGGACUACGGCCGCAAGGUUAAAACUCAAAUGAAUUGACG